ACGUAGUGAAUAAUGAAAGGACACUAUCGUUUUGUAUGUGUAUGCCUUAAGCAUUUGUUGUAUAAUGUUAAAAAGGUCAUAUGAGGAGGUUGUUUUCAUAUUUAAUUUUUCAUUCACUUCCAGGGAUAGGAUUGGUAUGGAAGAUGCAGCACUCUUUACAUUUUAAAUGUAUGUUGCCAUCCUAGAAGUCAAAGUCUUUUUACAUGUGACAUUAACAUGUACAUAUUUAUUUUUUCUAUUUUGUUGUUCUAUUAUUCUAUUGUUUGACUUUUUUGUUUCAGAUCAAAUGUAUAUCAAGUGUUAUCCAUGCUCAUAACACCUCCACAAAUAGAGACUGGAUCUUCUGUGCACCAUCAUCUUGUCUGCUUUGGGACUGUCAAAGCCCAGCAAUCAGAUGCAUCAGAACAACAAAGCACAACUGUGGUGGCCCAGGACCCUUUAGCAACAAGUACAUUGCUUUAACAUUAAUGAUAAUGCAAUGUCAGUAUUGUAAUUAAACUUGACCCAUCUGACGUAAUUGUUCAUGCCAGAGAUUUAACAACAUUGUCAGUCAGGAGCAUAUUUAACUAACAGGAGGCACACUUCAGCUGGCUUGAUAGUGACUUCAGUAAGUGUGAUUGACCCUCUUGUUUUUUGUGGCUAUAACAAUUAGACCAAGUAAUCUCACUCUCUUCCAUUUCCCAAACAUGAAACUUUUGACUGAAACAUUAAAAUCCCAGAUAAAAUGGUUGCACUUUAUUUUACAGUACGUGUACUAACAUGUACUUAUGGUGUACUUACAGUGUAUUUAUCUAAGAAAGUUCUGGUAAUACAAGGUAACUACAUGGGGUAGGGUUAGGUUUAGGGGUAGGUUUAGGGUUAGUACCUAGUUAUUGCAUAGUUAUUGUAAUUACUAUAAUAUGUACACAGUAUGUACAUGAGGAACAGGACUGUAAA